rnacentral:rRNA from 1 species
CGUGUAGGCGGCUUGGUAGGUCUGCUGUGAAAACUCGGGGCUCAACCCCGAGACGUCGGUGGAAACCACCUGGCUAGAGUCCGGAAGAGGAGAGUGGAAUUCCUGGUGUAGCGGUGAAAUGCGCAGAUAUCAGGAAGAAUAUCCGUGGCGAAGGCGGCUCUCUGGUACGGCACUGACGCUGAGACGCGAAAGCGUGGGGAGCGAACAGGAUUAGAUACCCUGGUAGUCCACGCCGUAAACGAUGGGUGCUAGGUGUGGGUGGUGUCGACUCCAUCCGUGCCGAAGCUAACGCAUUAAGCACCCCGCCUGGGGAGUACGGCCGCAAGGCUAAA